GAUAGAACAGUAGGGGACAAAGGACAUAACCUUGGAAAACACCAACAGAGAGGUGUUGGGGAGAAGAGGCAAAGCCAGAGAAAGAACACAGAAAGAUCGCUGGGAAAGGUAGGAGGAGUACCAGGAAAGAGCAGUAUCUCAUAUACUGAGAUUAUGGAGAUGAGAAGAAGCUGUUAAUGAUGAACAUGUGUCAAAGGCAGCAGAAG